rfam:Desulfosporosinus acidiphilus SJ4, complete genome.
UUAACCUUUAAAUUAGUCCCGUGAGGCUAAGAAGGGAAUGACGGACCAUGGAUUGAACGUGGACACCUCUUUCUUGCUUGCGGGCAGGGAGGAGGUUUUUUAGU